rnacentral:rRNA from 1 species
CCUACGGGGGGCUGCAGUGGGGAAUAUUGCACAAUGGGCGCAAGCCUGAUGCAGCCAUGCCGCGUGUGUGAAGAAGGCCCUCGGGUUGUAAAGCACUUUCAGCGGGGAGGAAGGCGUUAAGGUUAAUAACCUUGGCGAUUGACGUUACCCGCAGAAGAAGCACCGGCUAACUCCGGCCAGCAGCCGCGGUAAUACGGAGGGUGCAAGCGUUAAUCGGAAUUACUGGGCGUAAAGCGCACGCAGGCGGUCUGUCAAGUCGGAUGUGAAAUCCCCGGGCUCAACCUGGGAACUGCAUUCGAAACUGGCAGGCUAGAGUCUUGUAGAGGGGGGUAGAAUUCCAGGUGUAGCGGUGAAAUGCGUAGAGAUCUGGAGGAAUACCGGUGGCGAAGGCGGCCCCCUGGACAAAGACUGACGCUCAGGUGCGAAAGCGUGGGGAGCAAACAGGAUUAGAUACCCGGGUAGUC